CGUUUCCAAACCAUUGAUGCCGUAAAGCGUUUGGCGC
rnacentral:other from 1 species